UACGAGGGGGCUAGCGUUGUUCGGAUUUACUGGGCGUAAAGCGCACGUAGGCGGAUUGUUAAGUCAGGGGUGAAAUCCUGGAGCUCAACUCCAGAACUGCCUUUGAUACUGGCAAUCUAGAGUCCGGAAGAGGUGAGUGGAACUCCUAGUGUAGAGGUGGAAUUCGUAGAUAUUAGGAAGAACACCAGUGGCGAAGGCGGCUCACUGGUCCGGUACUGACGCUGAGGUGCGAAAGCGUGGGGAGCAAACAGG
rnacentral:rRNA from 1 species